AUUGAACGCUGGCGGCAGGCCUAACACAUGCAAGUCGAACGAGUGGCGGACGGGUGUGUAAUGUCUGGGAAACUGCCUGAUGGAGGGGGUUCACUACCGGAAACGGUAGCUACUACCGCCUACCAUCAGCUGUGCCCAGAUGGGAUUAGCUUGUUGGUGGGGUAACGGCUCACCAAGGCGACGAUCCCUACCUGGUCUGAGAGGAUGACCAGCCACACUGGAACUGAGACACGGUCCAGACUCCUAAGGUAGGCAGCAGUGGGGAAUAUUGCACAAUGGGCGCAAGCCUGAUGCAGCAAUGCCGCGUGUAUGAAGAAGGCCUUCGGGUUGUAAAGUACUUUCAGCGGGGAGGCGUUACCCGCAGAAGAAGCACCGGCUAACUCCGUGCCAGCAGCCGCGGUAAUUC
rnacentral:rRNA from 1 species